UACGGUUGUCCCACAAUGUCGUCUCUGUGAAAUCGAAAUAGUUUUCUUGUUCGUUUAUUCCGUCAGUUAUUUACAAUUUUGUUUGUGUGCUGCUGGACUACUACAGGCGUUUCCUGAAUGAUUGCAGCUAUCCUGGUUUUAUUUUUGCUUUGUUAUUUAAAUGUAUUGAAUGAACGAAGGUGCGUGACUCAUCGUUGAUUUUCCCGCCAUGUUGAGUUGGCUUCAAAAUACCUGCAGAAGAAAGUCGAAUGAAUCCGGCUCGGUGACAACUCGUCAAGACGUCAAGUCAGUUUCUUGAAAGACGGAUCAACCCUGCGUUUUUGUUUUCAUUUUCUGGAUGUGGAACUAUUAGAGUGCAAUGAUUUGCAGCCGGAAGUUGCAAUGGACCUUUUCGUGAGGAUAAAGUGGAACGUACCCACGUCUCAGGAUGUCGUUUACAUUUCACUACACACCGUGCUACUACACAUCUACAAUAACAGCUAAACUAUGAGUCUAGGAGUAGUUUGGUCUAAGGAGUUGGCAGCCAUCAAACGGAUUUACGGAUUCCGUCGCCCGCCUCACCUGCUGCCUCACCGGUGAUGCCCAUCAGCCAAACUGCCAAAGUUGUUCCGGUCUUCGUCCCCGAACCGGUGGCUGCUCCGCGUUCCGUCGUUCCGGUUGUUGUUGCUGCUGCCCAACAACAAUCCGAGCCCAUGAAAUCGUCGCCGGUAACGGCGAGGAAACCCAAAGACAAUCCGGCCGUCAGCACUGCGCCUCUUCCGGCUAAAAGGUUGUCCCAUUUAGCCUUACCUUCGGCCCUUCCUAGGAAAUCCAUUCGCCCGGAAGAAAAGGUGGAAGAAGUGAUGAAACCGAAAGAAGAGGAAACGCCCAUCGCCAUCGAACCCCCGGUAGUCCAGCCACCAAUCCAGCCGCCAAUACAGCCACUAAUGCAGCCGGAAGAAACAGCUGAAGUUGUCGCCAGUGCUGUUCCAUCAGUCCAACAGCCGAAUGCUGCUGUUUCAACACCGGAAGUUAGCAUCCGGACGAAGGGAGGAGCGUGAAAGUCACCAGUUCCGGCCAGCAGACGACGUUGACCUUUCAGAAAAAGUCAUCCGCCAAUUCCGAUGAGAAUAAGAACCCGAGGCGGAUCGGAGUUGCAUCGUCGACGACACUUUCAGGAUAUUGGAACUAUUAGAGCGCAAUGAUUUGCAGCCGGAAGUAGCAAUGGACCUUUUCGUGAGGAUAAAGUGGAACGUUUACAGCCCAAGAUGUCGUUUGUGCAACUUCACAUCUACGGCG